UAAUCCCUGCAUAGUGCGUGUAGACUGAAAUUUUAGAACCAACGCGGAUUAAACGGGAAUCUGCCUUUGGAUGUGGCGUGCAAGCUUAACUCGUAUUAAGAAGCCCAGAAGCAUUCAACAAGAUACCCACCUGUGAAAGCAGGUCCUUAAAAUUUCACUAAUCCUUACGGCUAAAGCGGGGCUCUU
rnacentral:other from 1 species